AACGUAGGUGGCAAGCGUUAUCCGGAUUUACUGGGCGUAAAGGGUGUGCAGGCGGGGUAGCAAGUGGGGUAUGAAAUCUCCGGGCUUAACCUGGAGGGGUUAUGCCAGACUGCUGCUCUAGAGGACGAGAGAGGGGGGUGGAAUUCCGGGUGUAGCGGUGGAAUGCGUAGAUAUCUGGAGGAACACCGGUGGCGAAGGCGGCAUCCUGGACCGGCAUUGACGCUGAGGCGCGAAAGCCAGGGGAGCAAACGGG
rnacentral:rRNA from 1 species